rnacentral:lncRNA from 1 species
GAUUUUGAUGAUUACAAAACAGUUGAAGGGGUACUAAUAAUUUUUAUUUGAAAAAGACCUAUUGCUCUUCAGGGGCAAAAUCAUAAUUUUACCAAAACCCUGAUUUGAAAGUAUCAAAUGAUAGAACAAAAGAUUUGUGAUCCAUUGGCGAAAAUUUUAUUAUUUUUGGACUUGUAUUUUGAAAGUUAUGCAUGUUUGAAAUUCAUGAGUCGACCCAUGAGUCAACUCAUGGCACAUGAGCUGUUUGGCACACAGAUUUUUUUGGCUUGGCACAACCUAUGAGUUGACCCAUAAGUCGACCCCCAAGGCAUGAGUCGACCCAUGAGUCGACCCCUACAGUUUUUAGGCCAAAAAUCACAGAACCUUAUUUUCUGAUAUUUUUCCACAG